UACGGGGGGGGCAAGCGUUGUUCGGAAUUACUGGGCGUAAAGGGCUCGUAGGCGGCCAACUAAGUCGGACGUGAAAUCCCGAGGCUCAACCUCGGGUCUGCAGUCGAUACGAGCAAACUAGAGUGUUGCAGGGGAGACUGGAAUUCCUGGUGUAGCGGUGAAAUGCGCAGAUAUCAGGAGGAACACCGGUGGCGAAGGCGGGUCUCUGGGCAACAACUGACGCUGAGGAGCGAAAGCGUGGGGAGCGAACAGG
rnacentral:rRNA from 1 species